UACGAAGGGGGCGAGCGUUGUUCGGAUUUACUGGGCGUAAAGGGCGCGCAGGCGGCGCAUCAAGUCAGGCGUGAAAGCCCCGGGCUUAACCUGGGAACUGCGUCUGGGACUGGUGGGCUAGAGAUCGGGAGAGGAGAGUGGAAUUCCCAGUGUAGAGGUGAAAUUCGUAGAUAUUGGGAAGAACACCAGUGGCGAAGGCGGCUACCUGGACCGGUUCUGACGCUGAGGCGCGAAAGCGUGGGUAGCAAACAGG
rnacentral:rRNA from 1 species